AUCACCUGGGGAUCUUGUUAAAAUGUAGAUGGUGAUUCUGAAGGUCUGGGGUGGGCCUGAGAUUCUGCAUUUCUGACAAGCUCUCAAAUGCUGCUGCU
rnacentral:miRNA from 1 species